CCAACUAAGUUUGUUAUUGGUAUGAGCUUUGUAGUGCAUGCACACUUCUUCAGAUACCUGAAGAAGUGUAUCUGAAGAAGUGUGCAUGCACACGAAAGCUCAUACCAAUAACAAACUUAGUUGG
rnacentral:miRNA from 1 species